UGUAAAAAAAUUGCAGUUUAAUGGAAUAGGCAACUACCGUAUAUUCUACAUCUGGAAUUGCGUUGCCUAAAGAUUAAGGCUACGGUUUUUUAAUAUUUGACCGCGGUUUUCGCUUGUUACCUAAAGUCAUUUUGGUUGUAGUGUCUCUUGCGUCUUUGAAUAUCCUGGAGUCACGUUUGACUCGUGGUUCGCAUAGGUCAUCAUGUGCUUUCAUCUUCGUCUUCUUCGGCAUCGAUUUGUCGCUCGCGUUACAGGAAACUCCAAGGGCUCAAUCUCCAGGUUCAGACGGAAAAUUCAAAUUCAACUCGAUAAAUCUCAGACAACAUAUAAUGCAGCAGCUCGAAAAUGCAUCGAUGUCAUCUUGCCGAUCAAGGAUGAAAGUAAAUCGCACGGCCAAGAACGAACUUAUUUAGAUGUUUCACUCUCUCAAGUACACGUCUUGAGCAAGAAAUCAAAACGAGAACAAUAAGAAUUGCGCUUAGGGUUCAUCAUUUCACCGAAUCACCGUCGGAAUUGAUACUGUCAGAAGCUUCUACUCAUGCACGGAAUCAAGAAGGGAUGAAUCGUGACAAAAAAAAUUGAUGGUUGAGUGAAAAGACUUACCGAAAAGGAUCCUUCGAUGCGAUAAUCUCAAGGUGUGGUUUCUGCUAGAUUCUGUUAAUGGAUGCAGGGUGUGGUUUUCUUGUAGCAUUUGUAUGGUUGCAGGAAAUGUGGUGGCAAUAGGAAAUGGAUGAAUAUGUUUGGUAGCUGCUUGUCGUGUUGUGUUUGGCUGCAACUAAUUUCGGUUUUGUUGCGGUACCACUGCUGUUUCUGUUGCAGCUUGAUGCGUUUACAUUUGUGUCCCAUUCUGCAGCUUUUUCCCAUUUCCGCAUUUGCAAUCUGUUUCGGCAGCAACUGGUGUUUGGAAGUGGCUUUGCUGCUAUGCUGCUGCGUUGUCGGCGGAUCUUGUUGGCUUAUGGAUUGCACUAUGGCUUCUAUUUCUUGUAGCUUGCCGCGUCUUGGUUAGCUUGUACAUGUUUCCGUUUACACUUUUCAUGUUUCCGUUUUGGCUUGCAGCUUCGUAUUGGCCGUUGUGCUUUAGCUUUGGAAUUCUGUUAUACUAUUCACGUUUUCUGCUAUGGUUUUAUGCAGGUUUUGCCGUGCCAUUUCGUGGCCUUUUGGCUGUUGGCUAUGCUGCUAUGAAUGUUUGGAUGGAGGUUAAAAGGUUUUAACUGAAUGUUGUUAAAGGAAGAAAACGGCGACGACGUGAAGCAUGUGGCAUGACGAGGAAUCCAACAUGAAAACGAUGAACCAAGACGACUUCACAACAAUUCAAGGCCCAUAACCUUCUUUUUCCUCACUUAUUCACAUGCUGUAAUAUCAUAUGGAAGAGUGACGCGGCCUAAACAAGCAUGCUUAAUAGACAUGGAAUUUAACCAAAUGAACAUACUCCCUACCAAGGUCAACUUUAAUCUACUUGGAAAUAGGAUACCAAAUCUUGUGAUUUUGUAAGGGGAAAUUGUACUUUAAGAGCAGGUAUGUAUGAAAUUGUCAUGUUGAAAUGUAAUAAGAAUGGUUUAUGAUGCAAGGCGGGGAAUUGGAGUUGGUUUUAAAAUA